ensembl:lncRNA POLR1HASP POLR1H antisense, pseudogene
CCAUCCUGAGGGGUUCAACAGGGAAUAGUCUCAUAAUGGAUUUAGAGUGAAGGAUGAUUGGCAUUGUUAGUCAGGCAAGCAGAGGGCUGAGCAGUCAAAUAAGAACAGAAUUUCAGAACAAAAGAUUAGAGGGCAGAAAUGCUGUAUGUGCUGAUAGAGUCAGAGAGGGCCCGGAUCGAGAAACUGCAGGAAGAGAAAACUAGAAACCUAGAAUCGUCUAGAAAACUAGAACCUACAAUCGUCUCAGAACACAAAGGAGGCUUGAGGACUGAGCAGACUGACAUAGAUGUACUUGGACAACACCUCACCAAGGAGCAUGUCUCUUCCCACUCACAAUCCCCAAUACGAGAUUCACAGUGGUUCACGCUGAGUCCACAGGAAAAAUUGGCCUGGGGUACAUCAUCUAAAGAUCCUAGGAUUGCUGCAGGUCAGCAGUCUCCACUGGAAAAAAAGAUCUUGCAUGUAUUUCAAGUCCUCUGAUGAAUCAUGUGAUCUACUAGACCCUGAAGAUACAGUGAAGAGCAAAAGAACACGGAUGAAAUGAGAAACAAAAACGAUGGAGAAAACCAAAAAAGGGGACACAUGGGAUCCAGGCAAUAGGAGAGCCAGCAUAAGAGAGAGGCAGAGGGAUGCCCAGGAUGAGGUGAAGACGAUCUUGGAAAUCAGCCCAGAUGUGCAUGCACCAGUCCACGUGUGGCAGGAC